rnacentral:snRNA from 1 species
AUGUGAGGGCGAUCUGGCUGCGACAUCUGUCACCCCAUUGAUCUCCAGGGUUGACUCGGCUGAUCUGGCUGGCCAGGCAGGUGUCCCCUUCCUCCUUCACUGCUAAAUGUGCGUCCCUCCCAAAGCUGCGUGCUUGGUUGCAGAGGAUGACCUUCCCCGAAUAAAGGAGGACCAGUCUUCGGUCAGGGGUAUACGAGCAGCUGUGCUCCCCUGCUACAACCUCCAAACAAGCUCUCCAGUGUGACUCUACUCCAUGGCAUUGUUCUCCUGGCUUUGAAUUUAACUUUCCUACUGUCAGGGAUCAGCAGGUGAAGUCUGAGAGUCCUGUUCC